UACGGGGGGGGGCAAGCGUUGUUCGGAAUUACUGGGCGUAAAGGGCUCGUAGGUGGCCAACUAAGUCAGACGUGAAAUCCCUCGGCUUAACCGGGGAACUGCGUCUGAUACUGGAUGGCUUGAGUUUGGGAGAGGGACGCGGAAUUCCAGGUGUAGCGGUGAAAUGCGUAGAUAUCUGGAGGAAUACCGGUGGCGAAGGCGGCAUCCUGGACCAUUACUGACGCUGAGGCGCGAAAGCUAGGGGAGCAAACGGG
rnacentral:rRNA from 1 species